ACGAAGGGGGCUAGCGUUGCUCGGAAUCACUGGGCGUAAAGGGCGCGUAGGCGGCGUUUUAAGUCGGGGGUGAAAGCCUGUGGCUCAACCACAGAAUGGCCUUCGAUACUGGGACGCUUGAGUAUGGUAGAGGUUGGUGGAACUGCGAGUGUAGAGGUGAAAUGCGCAGAUAUGCGGCAGAACAGCGGUGGCGAAGGCGGCCAACUGGACCAUCACUGACGCUGAGGCGCGUAAGCGUUGGUAGCAAACAG
rnacentral:rRNA from 1 species